rnacentral:rRNA from 1 species
UCGAUUCCCUUAGUAGCGGCGAGCGAAACGGGAAGAGCCCAAACCAACAAGCUUGCUUGUUGGGGUUGUAGGACACUCUAUACGGAGUUACAAAGGACGACAUUAGACGAAUCAUCUGGAAAGAUGAAUCAAAGAAGGUAAUAAUCCUGUAGUCGAAAAUGUUGUCUCUCUUGAGUGGAUCCUGAGUACGACGGAGCACGUGAAAUUCCGUCGGAAUCUGGGAGGACCAUCUCCUAAGGCUAAAUACUCUCUAGUGACCGAUAGUGAACCAGUACCGUGAGGGAAAGGUGAAAAGCACCCCGGAAGGGGAGUGAAAUAGAACCUGAAACCGUGUGCUUACAAGUAGUCAGAGCCCGUUAAUGGGUGAUGGCGUGCCUUUUGUAGAAUGAACCGGCGAGUUACGAUUUGAUGCAAGGUUAAGCAGUAAAUGUGGAGCCGUAGCGAAAGCGAGUCUGAAUAGGGCGUUUAGUAUUUGGUCGUAGACCCGAAACCAGGUGAUCUACCCUUGGUCAGGUUGAAGUUCAGGUAACACUGAAUGGAGGACCGAACCGACUUACGUUGAAAAGUGAGCGGAUGAACUGAGGGUAGCGGAGAAAUUCCAAUCGAACCUGGAGAUAGCUGGUUCUCUCCGAAAUAGCUUUAGGGCUAGCCUCAAGUGAUGAUUAUUGGAGGUAGAGCACUGUUUGGACGAGGGGCCCCUCUCGGGUUACCGAAUUCAGACAAACUCCGAAUGCCAAUUAAUUUAACUUGGGAGUCAGAACAUGGGUGAUAAGGUCCGUGUUCG